AAAAUUUGUUAUUAAUUUGAUUUAUAUGUAAAUUUUUGUAUGAAUUUAUAUUAAUUUUAAAAAUUAAUAUAGUUUUUAUAGUCGCAGUAAUUAAUUUUAUUAAUUAAAGAAAUUUAGAAAUAGCAAUAUUAAAUAGUAUAGAUUAAAUUGGUGCCAGCAAUCGCGGUUAUACUAAUUAUACAAAUGAAUUUUUUUAGUAAAAGUUAAAUUGGUAAAAUAUUAAAAAUAAUUAAAUUUAUUAAGUGAAAUUUUAAAUUUAAAUUUUUUAUAAAUAAAUUAAUUGAAGCUUAAAAAUUUUAAUAAA
rnacentral:rRNA from 1 species